rnacentral:misc_RNA from 1 species
UUUUCAACUCAAAAGGAAAAGCCUCACGUUUAUAUAUACUAAAAAGUAUACAAUCCGAAUCCACUAAUUAAAUUGGAGUGCACAAGUGGCCAUUUAUAAACGUUAAUUGGAUGAAUAUUAUUAUAGGACAACUUUAUUUAUUUAUUUUUAAAUCAUCAUUAGUAAAAUGAUUAAAGAACAAAGGAAACAAACCAACCAACUGAACCGGCAUUACCUGCCGGCCGGGUACACCAUUAUGUAAUUACUAACCUAAACAAAUUCUACCCUAAUUACAAGUACUUCAACGUUUUACUCCCGUCCAUUUGUACUUUUCUCUCUCUUUCACUCUCUCUGUCACUUGUACUUAUUUACAUCACCGUCCGUCCAAUAUCCACCGUCCGAUUAUCCUCUGUUCACAUCACGGAACACGAAUUUGGAUUCUCGUCGCUGAAUAUUUGCGGCGCAUGCAUUGGAUGGUGGUACACUGGUUCCAUAACAUACCCCUGCUGUACAUAUCCUUGUUGUACGUACCCAUGGUUCAUCAUAGGGUACCCUAGUCCUUGAUUCACCGCAUAAUACCCGUGUUGGGGCUCCACUGCGUAACUUUGACCAAACACUCCAUCUAACCAUUGUGUCGGCACCGGUGCUGGGAAGUACUCCAACUUGCUCACCUCCACCUUAGCUGCAGCCUCUUCCUUCUUGCCACCGUCUCCUUCUUUCUUUUCAGCUUUAGCUUCUUCUUUCUUCUCGGCCUUUGCUUCUUCUUUCUUCUCGCCGCCUCCUUCCUUCUUCUCUUCAUCUUUCUUAGGGGGAACUACCUCCACGUUCCUCUUGAGCUUCUCCUUGAGGUAAGGCACCAUUUCCUUCACUUCCAUUGUCCCCUUCACCGUGACUAGAUCUUUUGUUCCGUCCACUGUCACGUUAUCAACCCCUGUUCAUCAGCCAUUUCAGAUUUCCGUCAGCUUUGGAUUCUACGUUAAUCUCACUAUCAUAAUAUGAUUUAGAAUAACUAAUUAUUUAAAUACCUUUGUAUUUCAAGAUUAUCUUCUUUAUUUUUGAAAUGCAACCAUCGCAGUGUGUUAUGAUUUUCAAAACGACCGUACUCUGCAUCGUUUAGUUUAAUCACAGUUAGUUAAGCACUUGAUUUGGAUUUAAUCAACCAAAAACUCGAUAACAAUGGCACAUGAAUUAAGAAUUUGAUUAUUAACGGUGAAAAUUUUUACCUCUUUGGGCGGUUUCUUCUCCUCUGGUUUUUUCUCCUCCGGUUUCUUCUCUGCUUUUUCCUCUGGUUUCUUAUCGCCGCCGUCUUUCUUAGGCUGAGGAGACACAAUCUCCACUUUCUUCUUGGUUUUCUCUUCCACUCUCGCCUUCACAUUCGCCGGGUCUACUUUCCCGGUCACCGUCAGUUUGUUUCCUUCACAAUCUGUCUUCACGGCUUCCACACCUUCAAUAACCAAUUCAAUCGAUUAAUUUUCAGUUUGCUUAAAAGCAAUUUGAUUAAAUUUUAAAACACUUACCUUCUAACCGUCUAACUGCGCGUCUAAUUUUCUUGGCACAGCCCUCGCAAUGCAUGUCUAUCUUAUAAACGGAGAUGACCUUGGCGUCAUCUUUCUUAUCACCGGCGGCGCCAGCAUCGGCAGCAGGUUUCUUCUCUGCAUCACCCUUUGCAACAUCUUUCUGCUCAGCACCCAUUUGUUAGCCAAACAGCUAGAGAACCUAUUAGAGAAUGUGUUUAGUUGCUGGAAUCGUUU